rnacentral:rRNA from 1 species
AAUGAACGUUGGCGGCGUGGAUUAGGCAUGCGAGUCGAGCGAGAACCCCGCAAGGGGGGACAGCGGCGAAAGGGACAGUAAUGUGUAGAUUAUCUGCCCUCAGGUCCGGGAUAGCUGCGGGAAACUGCAGGUAAUACCGGAUAACAUCUCCGGAUCAAAGGUGUGAUUCCGCCUGAGGAUGAGUCUGCAUCCUAUUAGCUAGUUGGUGGGGUAAUGGCCUACCAAGGCAUUGAUGGGUAGCAGGUGUGAGAGCACGACCUGCGUCAUUGGGACUGAGACACUGCCCAGACACCUACGGGUGGCUGCAGUCGAGAAUCUUCGGCAAUGGGCGCAAGCCUGACCGAGCGACGCCGCGUGUGGGAUGAAGGCCUUCGGGUUGUAAACCACUGUCAGAGGGGAUGAAAUGCAGGUGGGUUCUCCCAUCUGUUUGACAUAGCCUCAGAGGAAGGACGGGCUAAGUUCGUG